rnacentral:rRNA from 1 species
AGGGAAUCUUCCGCAAUGGACGAAAGUCUGACGGAGCAACGCCGCGUGAGUGAAGAAGGCCUUCGGGUCGUAAAGCUCUGCUGCCGGGGAAGAACAAGUGCCGUUCGAACAGGGCGGUGCCUUGACGGUACCCGGCCAGAAAGCCACGGCUAACUACGUGCCAGCAGCCGCGGUAAUACGUAGGUGGCAAGCGUUGUCCGGAAUUAUUGGGCGUAAAGCGCGCGCAGGCGGUUUCUUAAGUCUGAUGUGAAAUCUUGCGGCUCAACCGCAAGCGGUCAUUGGAAACUGGGAGGCUUGAGUGCAGAAGAGGAGAGUGGAAUUCCACGUGUAGCGGUGAAAUGCGUAGAGAUGUGGAGGAACACCAGUGGCGAAGGCGGCUCUCUGGUCUGUAACUGACGCUGAGGCAUGAAAGCGUGGGGAGCAAAC